rnacentral:lncRNA from 1 species
GGUAAUGUAGUUGUUCUUUCAAGUUGCUCAAACACCUUCUACAUCUUGGCCUUUAUUUCCUCUAGGAUAUCUCACCAUCUAUUUUUCAUCCAUCCAUCCAUCUGUCCAUCUGUCCAUCCAUCCCCCAACAAAUAGAUAUGAGGAAGCUGCUGCAUGCUGGUCACUGCUGCAUACUAGGGAUACAUCCAGUUACUGUUUACAUCUAGAUGUCCUCUAAGAGCCUAAUGAGUGCGUAGGCAGAACUUUUGGAAGGUGAUUAGAAUAUAGGGGUAUUGCAGCUGACUUGCUAUUAGGUGGCCAGGUCUGGUCAGAAGAGGUGGGUCACUGGAGGGAUGGUCUGAAAGAGUGAAUCAUUCUUACUAGUUCCUCUUUUUGCCCACCUUAGACUGAAACUGCCAAAAUGUGAUCCAAAAUAAUUAUUUCCUUCUUUAAGUUGUGGGUGUCAGUCAUUGUGUUUCAGCGAUGAGGAAAGUGAAUCAGAUAAUCCACCUGUAAAUAAAAUGGACGAAUCUAUCUUAUCAGAAGUUGUGGGAGCAGCUGUACGGAAGAUAACUUUACAUUUAAGACACUGCGCCAUUUUGAGAUUUUGGGGAGUAACUGAUCAAGGAAUUCUAAGUAUAAUCCUUUAGAGAAGUGAUGAAAAUAGACCAUUUCAAACCACAUCUCUGAAGAGGCCUCAUCUGUGCUAUGGCUCUAAUCCUGAAUGCCUCCUUGAAGUGAACACAAUUCUUGCUGCUCAUUUUACAGAUGUGGAACCCUAACCUGGAGAAGGUCAUUAUUCCAAAUAUCUGGGCUUUUCGUACAAGAUGAAAGAUGGAGAUAUGGACUGAGUUGGAGAUAGGGUUGAAGACACUUGGACCUAAAACAUCUUGUGGAGGAACUCACAGCUGAGUUUGCCUUGAGUCUCAGAGAUUUGGGGUUUCAAUUUUUCAGCAAUGAUGAACUGUUAAGACUUUGGUGACUCUUAGAAAUGAAUUGAAUGCAUUUUGCACAAGAUGGACAUGAGUCUUUUGGGGGCCAGGGGCAGAAUGUUAUGGUUGAGAUAAAAAAAAUACUUUCUUCCAAAAAUUCUUCAUCUAGAGAUGAGGGCUGGUCAAAAGAAGCAGGUAACUGAAGGAAUGAUUUGGAAGGGUAUAUUCUCAUCCCUGAACAACUUUCUUCCACCAUGCAAUUUUGUCAUGCUAUUUCAGUCUUGGAGCCAAUCCACCAUAGAUUGAAUCCACUGAAACCUCUUUUAAGCUGCAGGGGUUGGUUAUUUUGUCCCAUUGACAGAAAAGUAACUAAUACAGUAAUUGAGAUUGGAAUAAAAGAAAUUGUAAUUGCCCAGCUCAUUUGGAUGCUGAGUGAUUUUUGAGGCUUUGAUCUGUUAAGGCUGACAAAAUCAAUGUAGCUCAUGA